rnacentral:rRNA from 1 species
UACGAAGGGGGCGAGCGUUGUUCGGAAUUACUGGGCGUAAAGGGCGCGUAGGCGGCGACUCAAGUUAGAUGUGAAAGUCCUGGGCUUAACCUGGGGACUGCAUUUGAUACUGGGUUGCUUGAAUUCGGGAGAGGAUAGCGGAAUUCCCAGUGUAGAGGUGAAAUUCGUAGAUAUUGGGAAGAACACCGGUGGCGAAGGCGGCUAUCUGGACCGACAUUGACGCUGAGGCGCGAAAGCGUGGGGAUCAAACAGG